GAGCCGUCUGCGGUGGCUGCUCCUACCUCCGUCCCCACCUUAGUCACCUGUCCCCGGCGCCACAGGGGGACCCCGGAGCGGACGGAGAAAAAUGGGGGGGCGGGACAGAACCCAGGAGAGAAAGCUACGGCGAGGUAAAGCCGCGGCCGAGGCAGGGAGGGGAGUGGUGUUGAAGAGCAGCCCGGGACGGAACAAACAGAAGGCAGAGUGUAAACAAUGCACAAAAACUUUACAUUUCCCGACGUGGAAAGAACGAGGCCGGGACAUUCCAAGCGGCUGGGUGGCCGGGAGCCCGCGGGAACCGCAAGUUUACGGAGCGGCGACGGAGGCGCAGUGCGCAGCGCAACCCGCGGCAACCUCGCGCCCCGACUCAGAGGGGGAAAAAAAACCUCCUCCCGGAGAGCCGUAAACCGAUGGAAGGGGAACAAAGCCGGGGCGGGUAAGGGGCCGGGUCCCCGAGGCCCGAAGAUUGCGGAGCCCCCGCGCACUCCGCGAAGGCUCCGGGCACGCUCGCCUACCAAAGGUUCGAACUCCGCUGCGAUGGGCGAAACGGAGCCGCCCCGCACCCGGUCCCGCGGGAAAAGGGACCCCGGCGCCCCGCCCUGCGCUAACCUUAGCCCCCCCGUCUUCCCUUCCCCCACCUCAUAUCCAUCCCCGCUAACCAUUCCCAAACCCGGCCUGGGCACUCCACACUGAGCUCCCGCGGGACCGGGCGAGAAAAACUCCGGUCUAAUUCCAUCAGCUGGGACUCGGGGGCCGCCUGCUGAGGCUCUGCCCCAAGGCCCCUUCCUCGGCCCGCGCUCCGUACCCCAGCCCCGGCGAGUCCGCUCCCUCCGUCCCGGCGCUCCCCCUGGGACCUUGUGCACAAGGAGGAGGCUCUAAGACCCGGGCACCGCGAGUUCAGAACAUGCCCGCUGCCCCUGCCCGCAAGAGGCAAAAACUCCAUUGGCUCCUAGUCCCGGGGAGAGAAGCGGCCCUCGUGCGCCCUGCCAGACCAGAGCUCCUUGCCUCCCUUUCCACCCACCCUCGCAUCACGCCACAUAGUCUUUCAUUCGUCUCCCGAGUCCGGGAUUUAGCCGUUGCCACAAACGCGAAAUCGACUCCAAUACAUAAAUGAAAAAGUUGGGGGUUUUCUUUUCUACUCCCUUUUCUCUCCCGCCCGUUCAGUCCCCACCACGCCCUCCUCUUCCCCACCCCUGCUCCUUCUCCCCCCAAAAGAAAAGAUCCCAUCGCCCCUCCCCGGGAUGGUCGCCGUUUCCUUCCCAUUAAUAACUCGGGAGUGUUGGAAUCCGCGGCGUCGGGACUGUUUCCCAUAAAUAUUCUUGGAGUCGACUCUCUCCCCUUCGUUUGACGUGGCUGCUCCACACUACAGUCCCCCUGGCCGGAGUUUCUGCCCGGUUCCGUCCGGAGUUAACCCCCGGCUCCUGCCUCACCUGAAAGGCUCCCGCCGAGAAACGGAGUAGCCAAAGGAGCCUGGGGUCGUGGGGAGGAAAAGGGAGGGACAGUGUGGAGCGAUGCUAUUAUUUCUGGGGGGCGAAUCUGGCCGCCUUCAGCAGCCCUGAGUUGCAGGUCUCGCUGGGGUAAAAGGGAAGAGAAAAAAGCGCCCUCACCUCCCCCAGCCGCGCCUAUAAGUUCCCUUCCAGGAAGCUGGCAGGUUUACCGGGGACUCGGCAACUUUUCCCCAUUCCCCACUGCAGAACCCCCAGAUGGAAAGGGUCCUUCCCCCGUAUCCGCGGCCUGGAUUCUACAGGUGUCCUCGGAGGGCCUUCUCUCCCCCCCGCAACCUCCCAAUUCUUCCCUCCGUCCCCCCUCCCUAUACUCUGUCCUUCCUUGGGCCCAGGACCAGGCGUGGUCGGGCCUUGGGUGUGCCGGUCCCCGGGCGGCAGCGCUGACGUGUGGCUGGGCGGGCACCCUGCCCUGCGGGGUUGG